rnacentral:rRNA from 1 species
AGUGAACGCUGGCGGUAGGCCUAACACAUGCCAGUCGAGCGGCAGCACAGUAAGAGCUUGCUCUUACGGGUGGCGAGUGGCGGACGGGUGAGGAAUACAUCGGAAUCUACUUUUUCGUGGGGGAUAACGUAGGGAAACUUACGCUAAUACCGCAUACGACCUACGGGUGAAAGCAGGGGAUCUUCGGACCUUGCGCGAUUGAAUGAGCCGAUGUCGGAUUAGCUAGUUGGCGGGGUAAAGGCCCACCAAGGCGACGAUCCGUAGCUGGUCUGAGAGGAUGAUCACCCACACUGGAACUGAGACACGGUCCAGACUCCUGCGGGAGGCAGCAGUGGGGAAUAUUGGACAAUGGGCGCAAGCCUGAUCCAGCCAUACCGCGUGGGUGAAGAAGGCCUUCGGGUUGUAAAGCCCUUUUGUUGGGAAAGAAAAGCAGCAGGUUAAUACCCCGCUGUUCUGACGGUACCCAAAGAAUAAGCACCGGCUAACUUCGUG